GCACUUUGGGAUAAGCCUGGGAAACUGGGUCUAAUACCGGAUAGGACUACAUGCUGCAUGGUGUGUGGUGGAAAGUUUUCGGACGGUGUGGGAUGGCCCGCGGCCUAUCAGCUUGUUGGUGGGGUGAUGGCCUACCAAGGCUUCGACGGGUAGCCGGCCUGAGAGGGUGUCCGGCCACACUGGGACUGAGAUACGGCCCAGACUCCUACGGGAGGCAGCAGUGGGGAAUAUUGCACAAUGGGCGCAAGCCUGAUGCAGCGACGCCGCGUGGGGGAUGACGGCCUUCGGGUUGUAAACCUCUUUCACCAUCGACGAAGGCCCGGUUUUUGCUGGGUUGACGGUAGGUGGAGAAGAAGCACCGGCCAACUACGUGCCAGCAGCCGCGGUAAUACGUAGGGUGCGAGCGUUGUCCGGAAUUACUGGGCGUAAAGGGCUUGUAGGUGGUUUGUCGCGUUGUUCGUGAAAUGCCACAGCUUAACUGUGGGCGUGCGGGCGAUACGGGCAGACUGGAGUACUGCAGGGGAGACUGGAAUUCCUGGUGUAGCGGUGGAAUGCGCAGAUAUCAGGAGGAACACCGGUGGCGAAGGCGGGUCUCUGGGCAGUAACUGACGCUGAGGAGCGAAAGCGUGGGGAGCGAACAGGAUUAGAUACCCUGGUAGUCCACGCCGUAAACGGUGGGUACUAGGUGUGGGUUUCCUU
rnacentral:rRNA from 1 species